rnacentral:rRNA from 1 species
AGAACGAACGCUGGCGGCAGGCUUAACACAUGCAAGUCGAGCGCCCCGCAAGGGGAGCGGCAGACGGGUGAGUAACGCGUGGGAACAUACCCUCCGGUUCGGAAUAGCUCAGGGAAACUUGGAUUAAUACCGGAUACGGCCUAGCGGCGAAAGAUUCAUCGCCGGAGGAUUGGCCCGCGUUCGAUUAGCUAGUUGGUGAGGUAACGGCUCACCAAGGCGACGAUCGAUAGCUGGUCUGAGAGGAUGAUCAGCCACAUUGGGACUGAGACACGGCCCAAACUCCUACGGGGAGGCAGCAGUGGGGAAUAUGGACAAUGGGCGCAAGCCUGAUCCAGCCAUGCCGCGUGAGUGAUGACGGCCUUAGGGUUGUAAAGCUCUUUCGCUAGGGACGAUAAUGACGGUACCUAGACAAGAGCCCGGCUAACUUCGUGCCAGCAGCCGC